UGAUAGCGAUGAAGCGUGAGGUUGCUGUUUACCAGCAAUGAUAGACAGGUUUUCCGUGGAGCGAAUGUCAAGUUAGGAAACUGACGACAA
rnacentral:ncRNA from 1 species